CGUUGCCCGGUAGCAGGAGCGGGCCGAGGCCUGUGGCUGCGGGUGAGGAAGCGGCGCCGCCGCCGCGGCGGUUUCCCCCGCGCUCCUUGGCCCCGCGGCCCGGGACUGUUGCAGCCGGGUGAGCUCCGGGAGCUGGCGAGGGCGCCCGCGGCUCGCGCUGGCCGCCUCGCACCGGGCAGCAGCGGCGCUGCCCUCCCGCCGGCGCUCGGUCCCCGUUCCAGAGGCCUCCCGGUCCCCGCUGGACGCUGAGCUCUCUGCUGCGUCCUUCCGGAUAGGAGAUCUGUAACUGAUCCUGAAGUUAGCUCGUGAUCCACCCCCUCCCCCUUAUACUUAGGGCAGAGCAAGUGCUGGGAUGCCUCAGAAGAUGGAUGAUUUUUCUGUCCGCUGGAAAACUACCCGAGUUAGCAAAGAUAUUCUGAGAAAAGAAUCCCAAGGGAAGAAAUGCUGCAGGUGCACAGAAGAGCAUUUGCGCUUGUUUGCAAAUGCAUGUCUUCAUCAAGGACAUAAGGCAGAAAGCAAGAAGCAACAGGGAUGUGGAUGUUCUCCUAACCCGCCCGAGUUUCACAUCUGAAUCAGCCACAUGGCUAAAACCUUUGCAUUAAGUUGAGGAAGAAUUGGAAAAAGUCUGCCUUGUCACAGAUGAAACCAAAUUCAUGGCUCCCCUCCCGAAGAUCAGCAUUACUGUGGUGUACCUACCUCAUAAACAGUGAUAUAUUUGAUAAGAAGAACUCAUGCUCUGAAAACAAGUUUCACAAUCACCAAGCAUACAAGCUGUCCCUAGGUAUCACCGGAGUUCCUGGGAGCCCUACCAGUAGAAUGUGAAAACAUCUUUGACAGCAUCCAGAGGAAGUAGAGAGCCAAAGGAUCAGAGCGAAUAACUGCUUGUCUAGACUUGUCACUUAGCAACAUACUAUACUCAUGGUUUUCUAUGAACAAUUUUACUUGAUCAAGUAUAUGUUCAUUGCUUGAGCGCUACUGCAAAAAAUGUUACUCAUGUUUUAAGGCAAGUCCAUGGCACUAGGGUGGCUUGUGCAGUGAAGACAAUCCUGUAAUACACCAUUUUAAUGCCUUUCUCUUAUAUAAGUUGUUUAAAACAUUAAAAUAGUUACUGUACUAUUAUUUACUGAAUGGAUCAUCAUGCUAAGAAAAACCUGCACUGAAGGAGACAGAUAAUAGUCAGAUCCCUUGGAAGAAAGAGUCUUUUCAUUUGCUUGAGGGUUUAAUACAAGUUUUAAUCAGACAAUAGUGAGUCUCAGGUUUUUCUUUCAACUCUGGGGAAUAAAGUUCUCCCUUGAAGACCGGUUGUUUUGUCUUACUAAAGUUGUUGCAGCUUGGCUUGAAGAAAGUGUUUACUGAUUAAAACUAGUGAUAAUUCUGUGGAGUUGCUGGAAAUUUUGACACGACAUUUUUUUACAAAAAGGCAAAUACUAUUUGUUUUCAUUGACAGUAUCUGUAGUAAUCAAGCCAGCUAAGUGAUACACAGAUGAUUAAGCUAUUAGUGUUUAGGCUGUGAUCACUGUUAGGGAAGUCCAGAUACCUUAAAAACUGAACAAGACUGCUUAGGUUGUUUCCUGUAAUACUGUAAAAGCUGAUCGUUACUGAUGUUUUCAUGCUUUAACGUGGCAGAUACGCUCUUUGCAAACAUCUUUUACUAUUAAAAACUGGGCAGUCUGACAAGGAAAUAACUUAAGUCUCCUUCAGCUAUUUACCUGUAACUUUGUUACAAUGUCAAGAGGUUCCAAGUCCAAAGAAGUAAAAUCAUUGCUUGUUUUGUGGUUACAAAUUGCUCAUUAACUAGUGUUACCCUUUUUAUACAGUCUGUGAGUAAUUUUAUGUCUGUGGAGCAUUUUGGAUGGUUCAAAUGACCGUUCUGCCAGUACAAGCUUCCAGCAUCAAUGAUGAGUAUAUAAUACAGCAUUUAUGUGUAGCAGCAGGCAUUUUAUAGAUAGAUAACAGGUUAGGUGAGGGCAAUGAAAUAAUGCUGGUAUUGUACAGUGAAGUGGAUGAUUAAAUUUACUCACAUAAAGUUUUGGAACUAUCUUCUAUAUAAAUAUCAGCAAAUUAAAAGGAUUUCAUUAGAGCAAUAUGAUUCUUUUUAUAGCAUUUAAGUCUCUCAAACAGUUUUUGAAAGAAAGACAAUGUGUUUGGAAGUGGCAGAGGGGGAAAUGCACCUAGAAUUCUAUUCUUUCCCCUGCCCUCUCCCCCAGAAAGGUAGCUGAAAACAUCAGCACCCUGUAAUAUUGAUGAUAGCCAACAAUGUAUUAAGGUUCCCCACCAGCUGCCAAGUGUAGUGCUUUUGAAAACCUAUCAGUUCAGGUAAAGAAGGCUGCCUGUAUGCUCAGUUUCACAGCUAAGCAGGCCUUAAAUUUUUUUCUGUUUAAAAACUUACGUAAUUGGAACACCUAAGAUUCUGCAAGAAAAACAAACAUCUCCCAGCUCCAGUGCUGAAGUUGUAUCUUGGCACAUAGUUAUAGAAUGCAAAGAAAUUGUCACAGCAGCUUUUGAAAUAUUAUCAUUUUGUGUGAAUGUAAAAUGAAUAUACCACAAGCUAGAUGUAACUGAAUUUCUCUAGGACUUCCAGAUCCUAGAAGAAUGUUGUACUAGAUAUCUGAAAUAAUUCUAAAUGUUGUACUAAAUAUCUGAAAUAACAAAUAAAAAAAAAGAA